AACAAACGCUGGCGGCGUGCCUAAUACAUGCAAGUCGAACGGGGAAAGCUUUCGGGUGAGUACUAGUGGCGCACGGGUGAGUAACGCGCGGAUAAUCUGCCUUAGAGUGGGGGAUUACCAGCCGAAAGAUUAGCUAAUACCGCAUAAGACCACAAGCACUGCGGUUCAAGGGGUCAAAGGUUUUUCGCUCUAAGAUGAGUCCGCGUAAGAUUAGCUAGUUGGUAGGGUAACGGCCUACCAAGGCGACGAGCUUUAACUGGUCUGAGAGGAUGAUCAGUCACACUGGAACUGAGACACGGUCCAGACUCCUAGGGGAGGCAGCAGUAGGGAAUAUUGCACAAUGGAGGAAACUCUGAUGCAGCGACGCCGCGUGAGUGAUGAAGGCCUUCGGGUCGUAAAGCUCUGUCGCAAGGUAAUAACACAAUGAAUGUACCUUGCAAGAAAGGAUCGGCUAACUUCGUGCCAGCAGCCGCCGUAAUAC
rnacentral:rRNA from 1 species